UAUCGAUCCCUAGAUUCAUUGCAAGGUUGCAUGCUGGAAUACCUAUCAAUUACUAAACUAUUUUUUGAAAUAUUAUAAAGUUUGUUACACCAGUAUUGUCCUCAACAAUAGUGUUCAAUUUAUACCUAACAAAGUCAUAGUAUAAUUGCAUUUAUCUAAGGAAGUAUUCCAUCAAGUUUUAAAUUGCCAAGUCAAAAUUAUUUUACAAAUAUUUUAAUCAUACCAUAGUACUAGAGGC
rnacentral:lncRNA from 1 species